UACCUCUAUCAGGGGGAUAGCCUCUCGAAAGAGAGAUUAACACCGCAUAACAUAUCUGACCGGCAUCGGUUAGCUAUUAAAUAUUUAUAGGAUAGAGAUGGGCUCGCGUGACAUUAGCUAGUUGGUAGGGUAACGGCUUACCAAGGCGACGAUGUCUAGGGGCUCUGAGAGGAGAAUCCCCCACACUGGUACUGAGACACGGACCAGACUCCUACGGGAGGCAGCAGUAAGGAAUAUUGGUCAAUGGGCGGAAGCCUGAACCAGCCAUGCCGCGUGCAGGAUGACUGCCCUAUGGGUUGUAAACUGCUUUUGUCCAGGAAUAAACCUUUCUACGUGUAGGAAGCUGAAUGUAC
rnacentral:rRNA from 1 species